rnacentral:rRNA from 1 species
GGGGGAUAUUGCACAAUGGGGGAAACCCUGAUGCAGCGACGCCGCGUGGAGGAAGAAGGUUUUCGGAUUGUAAACUCCUGUCGUACGGGACGAUAAUGACGGUACCGUACAAGAAAGCCACGGCUAACUACGUGCCAGCAGCCGCGGUAAAACGUAGGUGGCAAGCGUUGUCCGGAAUUACUGGGUGUAAAGGGAGCGCAGGCGGGUUGUCAAGUUGGAAGUGAAAUCUAUGGGCUCAACCCAUAAAUUGCUUUCAAAACUGACGAUUUCUUGAGUAGUGCAGAGGUAGGCGGAAUUCCCGGUGUAGCGGUGGAAUGCGUAGAUAUCGGGAGGAACACCAGUGGCGAAGGCGGCCUACUGGGCACCAACUGACGCUGAGGCUCGAAAGCAUGGGUAGCAAACAGGAUUAGAUACCCUGGUAGUCCAUGCCGUAAACGAUGAUUACUAGGUGUUGGAGGAUUGACCCCUUCAGUGCCGCAGUUAACACAAUAAGUAAUCCU